rnacentral:rRNA from 1 species
CCCUUAGAUGUCCGGGGCUGCACGCGCGCUACACUGUAGAAAGCAGCGUGCUUUAAAACCUUUCCUGAAAAGGAUGGGUAACCCCAGCAAAAUUCUACGUGCCUGGGAUAGAGAUUUGCAAUUUUCUCUCUUGAACGAGGAAUUCCCAGUAAGUGCGAGUCAUCAGCUCGCGUUGAUUACGUCCCUGCCCUUUGUACACACCGCCCGUCGCUACUACCGAUUGGGAAAAUUUUAGAGAGUCCUGGACUGAUGAUUGUUCGGCUUCACGGCCUUACUUUCGUCGGGAAAGAAUUCGAUAAUAUUUUUCUAGAGGAAGUAAAAGUCGUAACA